GAUGGACGCUGGCGGCGUGCCUAAUACAUGCAAGUCGAGCGAACGGACGAGAAGCUUGCUUCUCUGAUGUUAGCGGCGGACGGGUGAGUAACACGUGGAUAACCUACCUAUAAGACUGGGAUAACUUCGGGAAACCGGAGCUAAUACCGGAUGAUAUUUUGAACCGCAUGGUUCAAAAGUGAAAGACGGUCUUGCUGUCACUUAUAGAUGGAUCCGCGCUGCAUUAGCUAGUUGGUAAGGUAACGGCUUACCAAGGCAACGAUGCAUAGCCGACCUGAGAGGGUGAUCGACCACACUGGAACUGAGACACGGUCCAGACUCCUACGGGAGGCAGCAGUAGGGAAUCUUCCGCAAUGGGCGAAAGCCUGACGGAGCAACGCCGCGUGAGUGAUGAAGGUCUUCGGAUCGUAAAACUCUGUUAUUAGGGAAGAACAUAUGUGUAAGUAACUGUGCACAUCUUGACGGUACCUAAUCAGAAAGCCACGGCUAACUACGUG
rnacentral:rRNA from 1 species